GACGAACGCUGGCGGCGUGCCUAACACAUGCAAGUCGAACGGAAGUAAGUGCUUCGGUAUUUACUUUAGUGGCGAACGGGUGAGUAACGCGUGAGGAACUUGCCUCUUAGACCGGGACAACAUCUGGAAACGGAUGCUAAUACCGGAUAUUAUGGUUUUUCGCAUGGAGGAAUCAUGAAAGCUGGAUGCGCUAAGAGAGAGCUUUGCGUCCCAUUAGCUAGUUGGUGAGGUAACGGCCCACCAAGGCAAUGAUGGGUAGCCGGCCUGAGAGGGUGAACGGCCACAAGGGGACUGAGACACGGCCCUU
rnacentral:rRNA from 1 species